UACAGAGGGUGCGAUCGUUAAUCGGAAUUACUGGGCGUAAAGCGCACGUAGGUGGCGACGUAAGUCGGGUGUGAAAGCCCCGGGCUCAACCUGGGAAUUGCAUUCGAGACUGCAUUGCUGGAGUACGGAAGAGGAGGGCGGAAUUCCCGGUGUAGCGGUGAAAUGCGUAGAUAUCGGAAGGAACAUCAGUGGCGAAGGCGGCCCUCUGGUCCAUUACUGACACUCAAGUGCCAAAGCGUGGGGAGUAAACAGG
rnacentral:rRNA from 1 species